GCCCUGCUGGCGUAGUGGUAGCGCGUCUCACUUGUACCGACAGGUCAAUGAGAAGGUCACUAGUUCAAUCCUGGUGUGGGGCA